GCCUUCGUGGUGUAGUGGUCAGCACGCUCGGCGCGUACUCGAGAGGUCCAUGGUUCGAAUCUUGGCGAGGGCA
rfam:Stegodyphus mimosarum contig23732, whole genome shotgun sequence.